GGGCGUGUGGCGCAGUGGUAGCGCAAUUGCUUCGCAUGCAAGAGGUCGCCGGUUCGACUCCGGCCUCGUCCA
rnacentral:tRNA from 1 species